rnacentral:rRNA from 1 species
GGUUAAGCGACUAAGCGUACACGGUGGAUGCCCUGGCAGUCAGAGGCGAUGAAGGACGUGCUAAUCUGCGAUAAGCGUCGGUAAGGUGAUAUGAACCGUUAUAACCGGCGAUUUCCGAAUGGGGAAACCCAGUGUGUUUCGACACACUAUCAUUAACUGAAUCCAUAGGUUAAUGAGGCGAACCGGGGGAACUGAAACAUCUAAGUACCCCGAGGAAAAGAAAUCAACCGAGAUUCCCCCAGUAGCGGCGAGCGAACGGGGAGCAGCCCAGAGCCUGAAUCAGUGUGUGUGUUAGUGGAAGCGUCUGGAAAGGCGCGCGAUACAGGGUGACAGCCCCGUACACAAAAAUGCACAUGCUGUGAGCUCGAUGAGUAGGGCGGGACACGUGGUAUCCUGUCUGAAUAUGGGGGGACCAUCCUCCAAGGCUAAAUACUCCUGACUGACCGAUAGUGAACCAGUACCGUGAGGGAAAGGCGAAAAGAACCCCGGCGAGGGGAGUGAAAAAGAACCUGAAACCGUGUACGUACAAGCAGUGGGAGCACGCUUAGGCGUGUGACUGCGUACCUUUUGUAUAAUGGGUCAGCGACUUAUAUUCUGUAGCAAGGUUAACCGAAUAGGGGAGCCGAAGGGAAACCGAGUCUUAACUGGGCGUUAAGUUGCAGGGUAUAGACCCGAAACCCGGUGAUCUAGCCAUGGGCAGGUUGAAGGUUGGGUAACACUAACUGGAGGACCGAACCGACUAAUGUUGAAAAAUUAGCGGAUGACUUGUGGCUGGGGGUGAAAGGCCAAUCAAACCGGGAGAUAGCUGGUUCUCCCCGAAAGCUAUUUAGGUAGCGCCUCGUGAACUCAUCUCCGGGGGUAGAGCACUGUUUCGGCAAGGGGGUCAUCCCGACUUACCAACCCGAUGCAAACUGCGAAUACCGGAGAAUGUUAUCACGGGAGACACACGGCGGGUGCUAACGUCCGUCGUGAAGAGGGAAACAACCCAGACCGCCAGCUAAGGUCCCAAAGUCAUGGUUAAGUGGGAAACGAUGUGGGAAGGCCCAGACAGCCAGGAUGUUGGCUUAGAAGCAGCCAUCAUUUAAAGAAAGCGUAAUAGCUCACUGGUCGAGUCGGCCUGCGCGGAAGAUGUAACGGGGCUAAACCAUGCACCGAAGCUGCGGCAGCGACGCUUAUGCGUUGUUGGGUAGGGGAGCGUUCUGUAAGCCUGUGAAGGUGUGCUGUGAGGCAUGCUGGAGGUAUCAGAAGUGCGAAUGCUGACAUAAGUAACGAUAAAGCGGGUGAAAAGCCCGCUCGCCGGAAGACCAAGGGUUCCUGUCCAACGUUAAUCGGGGCAGGGUGAGUCGACCCCUAAGGCGAGGCCGAAAGGCGUAGUCGAUGGGAAACAGGUUAAUAUUCCUGUACUUGGUGUUACUGCGAAGGGGGGACGGAGAAGGCUAUGUUGGCCGGGCGACGGUUGUCCCGGUUUAAGCGUGUAGGCUGGUUUUCCAGGCAAAUCCGGAAAAUCAAGGCUGAGGCGUGAUGACGAGGCACUACGGUGCUGAAGCAACAAAUGCCCUGCUUCCAGGAAAAGCCUCUAAGCAUCAGGUAACAUCAAAUCGUACCCCAAACCGACACAGGUGGUCAGGUAGAGAAUACCAAGGCGCUUGAGAGAACUCGGGUGAAGGAACUAGGCAAAAUGGUGCCGUAACUUCGGGAGAAGGCACGCUGAUAUGUAGGUGAAGCGACUUGCUCGUGGAGCUGAAAUCAGUCGAAGAUACCAGCUGGCUGCAACUGUUUAUUAAAAACACAGCACUGUGCAAACACGAAAGUGGACGUAUACGGUGUGACGCCUGCCCGGUGCCGGAAGGUUAAUUGAUGGGGUCAGCGCAAGCGAAGCUCUUGAUCGAAGCCCCGGUAAACGGCGGCCGUAACUAUAACGGUCCUAAGGUAGCGAAAUUCCUUGUCGGGUAAGUUCCGACCUGCACGAAUGGCGUAAUGAUGGCCAGGCUGUCUCCACCCGAGACUCAGUGAAAUUGAACUCGCUGUGAAGAUGCAGUGUACCCGCGGCAAGACGGAAAGACCCCGUGAACCUUUACUAUAGCUUGACACUGAACAUUGAGCCUUGAUGUGUAGGAUAGGUGGGAGGCUUUGAAGUGUGGACGCCAGUCUGCAUGGAGCCGACCUUGAAAUACCACCCUUUAAUGUUUGAUGUUCUAACGUUGACCCGUAAUCCGGGUUGCGGACAGUGUCUGGUGGGUAGUUUGACUGGGGCGGUCUCCUCCUAAAGAGUAACGGAGGAGCACGAAGGUUGGCUAAUCCUGGUCGGACAUCAGGAGGUUAGUGCAAUGGCAUAAGCCAGCUUGACUGCGAGCGUGACGGCGCGAGCAGGUGCGAAAGCAGGUCAUAGUGAUCCGGUGGUUCUGAAUGGAAGGGCCAUCGCUCAACGGAUAAAAGGUACUCCGGGGAUAACAGGCUGAUACCGCCCAAGAGUUCAUAUCGACGGCGGUGUUUGGCACCUCGAUGUCGGCUCAUCACAUCCUGGGGCUGAAGUAGGUCCCAAGGGUAUGGCUGUUCGCCAUUUAAAGUGGUACGCGAGCUGGGUUUAGAACGUCGUGAGACAGUUCGGUCCCUAUCUGCCGUGGGCGCUGGAGAACUGAGGGGGGCUGCUCCUAGUACGAGAGGACCGGAGUGGACGCAUCACUGGUGUUCGGGUUGUCAUGCCAAUGGCACUGCCCGGUAGCUAAAUGCGGAAGAGAUAAGUGCUGAAAGCAUCUAAGCACGAAACUUGCCCCGAGAUGAGUUCUCCCUGACUCCUUGAGAGUCCUGAAGGAACGUUGAAGACGACGACGUUGAUAGGCCGGGUGUGUAAGCGCAGCGAUGCGUUGAGCUAACCGGUACUAAUGAACCGUGAGGCUUAACCUU